rnacentral:misc_RNA from 1 species
CUUAAAGUGGUUUUGGCAAGAAAAUGAAGUGGCUGUGAUGCUGUUUGCAAUUGGAGCUUUACUCACACUCCCCCAUUGUGUCCCAGAGUAGUGCAAUCCUGUUCCUCUGUUUUUUUUUUUUUUUUUCCUCCUUGAUCUUUUCCAAGUCUUUCUAUUUACAUCUUGAUGUUUCAAUGUAGUUGCAAAGAUUUUACAACAUUAGAUGUUCACCUUGUUGAGACUCGAUGGAUACAAUAAGACAAGUAUUCAUAUGGUUGGAAUUUUGUUGGUAUGCUA